rnacentral:lncRNA from 1 species
AAAAAAGAAAAAGAAAGUGAGAAAGGAGGAGGUUGCAAACAUGGAAGAUGGCCAGAGAAGGGGCAGGCUGUCCAAGCAUGAAAUGGAACUAUUUAGGUAAGAAGGAACCCACAGCAGAGGUGGGCCAGGGGCUGGGUUGCAAGAGUUUGGAAAAGAGGCUCAUGGAAGAAAGGCAUUUGUGAGUGGGAGCCAGGCCUCCUAGGGAGCAGCAGUAUCACUCACUGGUGUGGUCAUAACCUUUGGAAUGAGGGUGUGAGUGAGUGCAAAUCCCCAGCCCCCUUCUCAUUCCAGUCUCAUCACACUCCUCUAGCCUGGUGCGCUCUCUCUCUCUCUCUCUCUCUCUCUGUCUCGCGUGUGCUCUCUCUCUCUCUCUCUCUCCCUCGCUCUCCCUCAUCUCAUUGUUUCAGAGUAGGCCAAAUUUGAAGUCCUUCCCAGGGAGUGGCUCUGUUCAUCUUAUUCUCCAGCCAAAGUAGAAACAGCGUGAGAAGGAGAGAGCCGCAUUUUCGGCAGACAACGGACUCGGUGAAAAGAGCAGAGGAGAAAUACACAGUGAGUUGUUUGAUUGUAUAAAACCCUAAACAGACAGAGGGUGUGUUGGAUGGGUUGGGUGUGUGUGGGUGUGUGUGUUAAACUGAAAGGCCAGAGUGGGGCAAUAGGGAAUGACAAUGACUGAGAAUUGAGUGAAUAUCUCAAUUAUCCAUGGAAUUCAAGAGAUAAGACACUGAGGUUAGCAGAUGAUAUUAAGAAGCCACAGAUAUUGAAAAGGACUAUAAGACACUGGGGGUUGAAAGCGGCCACAGGACAUGAGCAAAGAUACCAGUUAGAAUGGAAAGUAUCCUCUGACUUGGCAGAAAAGAGGAGUGAGAAUGAGAAUAACGGUGAGUGGGCAAAGAAGAUAAUUUGAAGGAAAAUAAAUGUUCAGUGAAAGAAAGGAGAGAAAGGCCUGGAGUCAGAGGGGGGACCAGGGAAAGCCCUGGGCAGACAAAGAGACAGGGGCCCUACAGGUACCCUUGCCUGGACCUCAAUGCUGAUGUGUCUGCGAGCAUUACAGCCUCUACUCUCCCAACACUCCCACUAGACAUGUUGCUCACGGGACCCAAGGUGCUGCUGUAUCUCACCGUGCUCAUCAUCCCCUCUGAGUGGACACCACUAGGAGUCAGUGGUCAACGAGGAGAUGAUGUGACUCCAGUGACACCAGAAACAUUUACAGAGGAUCCAAGUAAGCUACCCUUUUU